rnacentral:rRNA from 1 species
GACGAACGCUGGCGGCGUGCUUAACACAUGCAAGUCGAACGGAAAGGCCCUGCUUUUGUGGGGUGCUCGAGUGGCGAACGGGUGAGUAACACGGGAGUAACCUGCCCUUGACUUUGGGAUAACUUCAGGAAACUGGGGCUAAUACCGGAUAGGAGCUCCUGCUGCAUGGUGGGGGUUGGAAAGUUUCGGCGGUUGGGGAUGGACUCGCGGCUUAUCAGCUUGUUGGUGGGGUAGUGGCUUACCAAGGCUUUGACGGGUAGCCGGCCUGAGAGGGUGACCGGCCACAGUGGGACUGAGAUACGGCCCAGACUCCUACGGGAGGCAGCAGUGGGGAAUAUUGCACAAUGGGCGGAAGCCUGAUGCAGCAACGCCGCGUGCGGGAUGACGGCCUUCGGGUUGUAAACCGCUUUCGCCUGUGACGAAGCGUGAGUGACGGUAAUGGGUAAAGAAGCACCGGCUAACUACGUG